CAACGUGUCAUAAAAUCAAGAAGUGAAUUGAAUAACGAUGUUCCAAAAAAUAAUAUUAUUGAUCUUUAUAUCAUCUUACCUAUCGUUAAAGUAGAUUAUGCCGUUUUAAAUAAUAGAAACCAAGAUAUCAAGGUAAAAUUGUGAUUCAAGAAGUUCAAAGUUGCGUCCUGGAUUACAUAACACCGGAUAUAUAUACAAUGUAUCAAAAAGAAUCUGCAAUCUGAAUCUGGAGGCUAACUUUAUAUCAGGAAUUAUCUUGCCAAAGGAGAUGGUCAAAAUUGUAUGGAGAAAAAGUUGACGUUAAAACCACGUGUCAGGGAGGUGUGGCCCAAAUGUAACGUAACACAAUAUUGAUCCAAGCGAGUAGCGACAGCUCGUGUCGCGAGAGUUGAAACUGAUUUAAGUUGCAGUGCGUGUGACAAAGGCCGGACCCGGGAAUUGAAUCCAGAACGUUAUGAUCCGUAUUUGAACAUACGAACCACGACACCAGCGAGAAUUUUGUAUAUAUUUAUGAAGCUAUAGAUACGAUGCGAACAUCGGUGGACUGAAGUAUCGUUGCUGAACUGGCAAAUGACACCGGGACUACAAUUAUAGCCUGAGAAAUGCGGGUUUUAAGCCUUCGUCGUCUCUAGAGGAUAUGUUUACCUACUCUCACUAUUGAGACAACCAUUUUGAACCGAAUUUAGUAAUUGGGAUGUUUCUGGAUGGUGGCUUCAGCCAUGUCUAGCUACCACCGUACCGACAACGACGUGUCCCCAAACGAGUUAGCGUUCCGAUGCGAUGCCGCGUAGAAACCGGUGGGUGCAAUACCACAAAACAAACCUCCAUAGUCCAAUGUUCCAGAAACGCUGAAGAUCGUAACAAGUGGAGACGCAUCGCGGGGG